AUUGCAGAAAGCAUGUGGAAUAGAGCCAAAGCAGAGAUACUAACUCCAGCAUAACCCAUGUUCCCUCAGUCUUGCACAUCCUCAAGGACAGUUUAUCUUUUGACCUAACUCUCAGAACUUUUCUGUGUCCGAUCCAGGCCACGGGCAUGACUUCGCAGCAUGAGAACGAGCCCUUCGUUAUGUGAAGAUAUCCUUAAGGUAAUAGAUACCUGAAAGACAUAGAUUCUGAACUGGGAUGGUGUCCACAGCACAGGCUUAAUCAUGCUCACGCUUUACCAAAGAGCAUGGGCCUCUUGCUGAAAAGUGGCCCUUUUCUCCUACAAGAUGGAAUCUCCCAGAAGAGCAGAAGGAUGCUCAGACUGUUUAGAUAAAGGCUGAUAACUACUUGUUGAGAAGAGACGGAGAGGGAAGUAACCAGAGAGAGAGGAAGGAAGCAAAGACUGCAGCUGAAUUUCAGGUAGAAGAAUACAAUAUUUUGGAUAAGCUAGUAGUAACCAAGAGGAAGUAGUGCAAAUUUGUGUAAGGCACUACUGACACUGAAAAUUUGCCUGACAUCCAAACUAGCAUAAAUAAAAUAAGCAAAAGCAAGCAGCUAAAUAUUGGCACCACAGAUACGUUUUGCAUUGUUCCUUGCAUUAUGUCCAUGUUGUGCUCUGCCCAUGAUCCCAGAUGACCCACACAGCUCGGGAGCAUCCAGGCUGGGGAAGCCCUCAACAUCAGACUGUUCAUACACUGCUUGCCUCUGCCUUUCUCUGACUUGUCCUGAACAAGGACAGCAGAUCCCCCGCCUAUGCCCUCUCCCUCAUCUCUGCCCUAAGUUCAAAUAUUUAUUUUCAAGUACUGCCCAAGUUCUUGUCUCUUUUUUCCUUCCCCUCUUGGGGAUCUGCAAAAGCUGCUUUGAACUCUAGUGUACCUGUACCAGUGCAGUGGCCAGUGAAUGCUUUAUGUUACAGAGACAUGCUACCUGUCGAUCCAAUCGUGGAAUCUUUCCUGCAGAAAUAUCCAUAUCUCAUGAAGCUGGAAAAGCAUGGCCAAUAUGGAGCAAAUAAAUCUAUCUGCAUGUGGACUUUGACUGGUAUCAAACUGGCUCAUUUAUUGCCACAACUCUUUGCUGGGAGAUUUUUGUUCUGCUGUAGAGCUGCUAAAUUCCCCUCGAGUACUAUUAGUGUUGCUGCUUUUUAUGUCUCUCUCCAUGACACUACUCAAUGCAAGUUAUAAUUAACUCAGAGGAAGUAGAAGGGGAUGGACUCUGUUGAGAGGGAGAAGGGUACAGAAUAGGAAAAUAUAAUGCCAAAUAACCUUUGGGGUUUCUAGCAUCCCUUGAACACUUGGGCCUUGGUUAUUUUUAGGCUUUACCUUUCUACUGAACAGCAACUCUGUUGUCAGCCGCAAACUACAGCAAUCAGGACUAAUUUUCAGGGCUGAGAGAGGAUUUGAAUAAUUUGACUUGUAAGACCUUUGUACUGGCCUUUUGCACAAGACUGGUUUUUAACCCUGGAGAACUACAGAAGUCACCCCUGGCUGAGAUUCUAGUACAAAAGGUGAAAAUGUGUCUGUUUUCCAGCAACACUGGACAGUCCAGAGAACAAUUUAUUGUUUAACUAUUAAAGAUUUAAAUAUCAAAUGCAGGGCCCGUCCUGAUUCCCACAGAUCCCCCUGUUUGCGUGCACACACAUAACCUGGAGGGUUAGUAUGCAGCUGAGGCACGCAAAGGCAGACUGAGAGAGGGUAGCAUAGCAUUUCUGAAGGUACACGCACUUAAAUAGGAUCCUGGUGAGGCUUCUUGCAUUUUUUCAAGUAUAGCAUUGUGGAAGAAAAGGGUAGAAAAACCAGCAAACUACUGCUAAAGGCACUAAAGUAUAUGCUUCGGACAGAGAAUUUUUUCCUCUAACAGCAAACUGUGAAUCGUAAUGGGAAGUUGGGGAUCAGCUUACAGAAUCCUUGGAAGCCAAAAAGAAAAAAUAAAGUGUCCUCACUGACUUUGACAUUUCUCCUGCAGGUACAUACAGCCAUGAGUAACUUUACGCAGCUGAGUAAACAUACCGAGUUCAGCAGGACCACUCUUACGUGCAUGUUACUCACCUGGGUCUUAGUAAUGUAUGCUCACAGUCUAAAUAUUUCAUACUUUCGAACUAUUAAAAAAGUGAGUUUCUGAACCAAGAAGCCAUUUGAAUAACUAACGUGCUACUUUGAUCUGCAUUUUAAUUUGAAAACUCAUUAUUAUUUACAUGAUAAACAUAAAGGGUGCAUUUGGAGUUGUUAUGAUCCUUCUGGUAAAUCUGUAUUUAAGCAU